CCACGUCCCAGACACCUUGUUGGUUGCAUGUGUGAGAGGCCACUGCCCGAUCAAUUAUGAAGGCACGCCCUGAUAUUGAAACAAUAAAAGAAAAUAUCAGAAACGUUGCUACGACUCGGGUGAAGACAAUUAGUUCAGAUAAAAACCUGCCUUGCAGAACCAAUUCCAGUCGUAAAGGCAGCCCGUCAUAUAUAGGUUGUGUGCAUUUCCCAACUUUGCCCUACCAAAUAAUUUUUGCAGUCCUGGGUUAAACACAUUAAUUAAUUGCAUUAAUUGCACCCAUCCGUGUGGACCGAGCACAGACAACUACUCAUUGGAUUAAAUUGAAUCAAUUAAUGUAACGUUGCUCAGGACGUCCAUCACUUUCUUUAAAAAGUUCCAUUAAUGUUUAAAGGCUCUCAUUGUGUUAUUCGCUAUAUUGUUUUGCUAUGGAGGAGAAUGGGGUGAGAGCAUCAUUUCCAGUAAGGCUUAAUUCCCUGGCCGUGUAAACAACAAAACGUUUAAUAAUAACCAGACGUUUGGUCGGCGGAGAGAUCUCCGUCUGGUACCGCAGGACUACUGGAAGUGUAUGCAUAAAUAUUAUAAAAUGAGCAGUGUACGAUCUCUCAAUUGCACGGUAAGUGGGGGGGUGGUAUAUGUGGGUAUGGGGGUGUGUGGGUUUAUGAUGAAGUUGGUGUGUGGGAGGACCAAAGCCUUUGGGUGGGUGUUAACGCGUGUGUGUGUGUGUGUGUGUGUGUGUGUGUGUGUAUGGUUUAAUUUGUACAUACACUCACCAACUUUGUAGUUGGUGAGUGUAUGGGUCCUCCUUUCUCACACCUAAUUCUUCAUCCCUGAUCAUCGAGUCCUCUUCCUCUUUGUUGCGCCAUCUUCUCCCUCACCGUAUUCUUUCCCAUCUGUCCUUUAGUCAGCUCCACGUCACACAUCCGCUAUAGUCAGCCUCUUAGAAUUCCUUUUGUUGGAACCAUCUUCAGAAAUGUGACUUUCUGGUCAGUGACUAUUUCUCUGGUAGACCCAGCAAGUGGGCGUCUAAUCUACUUAUCUUCAGAUAUGAAGAUUUGGUGGCCAAGGCUCUCUUCUCAAUAUGAUAUCAGCACCACUGAUGCCAGUGUUGACGUAAGAGGGGAGUCCGGUAUGUCACGUGUUGGGAUGGGGACGGCAUCGGAAGGGCAGAGUUCCUGCAGACCACGUCCCAACGACUCCUGGUCGGGUUUCUGUGCGGGACAACAGACUAUCUUUGGCCGGACGGUCCACACUCAAACAGUACUUUCCCACACAAAAGGGCCUGAAAAAGUAGCAGUAGAAAUGUUUGCCAAUUGUUGGGCUGUUCCAUAAGUAGCGGGAACAGAGGAAGUAUCCCUUUUAGCCCUACGGCCCACUCUCCUAAAGUCUUGCAACCUGUUGCAUCAUUCGUGCCGAGGGGGCGGUGUGUGUGUGUGUGGGGGGGGGGGGGGUUGGAGGUCGACGCGCGUGUGUGUGUGUGUGUGUGUGUGUGUGUGUGUGUGUGUGUGUGUGUGUGUGUGUGUGUGUGUGUGUGUGUGUGUGUGUGUGUGUGUGUGUGUGUGUGUGUGUGUGUGUGUGUGUGA